rnacentral:rRNA from 1 species
AGGAUAAACGCUGGCGGCGUGCCUAACACAUGCAAGUCGAACGCGCUUUCGGGCUUCGGUGCGAGAGCGAGUGGCGGACGGGUGAGUAACACAUGGGUACCUACCUUGGAGUGAGGGAUACCGGCGAGAAAUCGCCGACAAUACCGCAUAGGCUUCUUCACAAGGGAAGCAAAGUGACGCGAGUCACGCUUUGAGAUGGGCCUGUGGCCGAUUAGCUCGUUGGUGGGGUAACGGCUCACCAAGGCGACGAUCGGUAGGUGGUCUGAGAGGACGAUCACCCAGACUGGGACUGAGACACGGCCCAGACUCCUACGGGAGGCAGCAGUCGGGAAUUUUGCUCAAUGGACGAAAGUCUGAAGCAGCAACGCCGCGUGAGGGAUGAAGGCCUUCGGGUUGUAACCUCUUUUAUCAGGACGAUAAUGACGGUACCUGAUGAAUAAGUCACGGCUAACUACGUGCCAGCAGCCGCGGU